rnacentral:rRNA from 1 species
GGAAUAUUGGUCAAUGGACGCAAGUCUGAACCAGCCAUGCCGCGUGAAGGAUGACGGCCCUCUGGGUUGUAAACUUCUUUUACAGGGGGAGAAAAUCAGGACUUAUUUUCUGACUGACGGUACUCUGAGAAUAAGCACCGGCUAACUCCGUGCCAGCAGCCGUGGUAAUACGGAGGGUGCAAGCGUUAUCCGGAUGUACUGGGUUUAAAGGGAGCGCAGGCGGAGUGGUAAGUCAGUGGUGAAAGCCUCAAGCUUAACUUGGGAAUUGCCGUUGAUACUAUCAGUCUUGAAUGUUGUUGAGGUUUGCGGAAUGGGUCAUGUAGCGGUGAAAUGCAUAGAUAUGACCCGGAACACCUAUUGCGAAGGCAGCAGGCUAAACAAAUAUUGACGCUGAGGCUCGAAAGCGUGGGGAUCAAAC